rnacentral:rRNA from 1 species
AUGUGCAACGUCAUCACGAUCCCGUCGGUCGCCUGGCUGCGCCGCGCCGUGCGCCGGUGGCGGGCCCGCCGCUCCACCUCCGCCCCGGUGCCGGCGGGGCACGUCGCGGUCUGCGCGGAGGGCGUGCGGUUCAUGGUGCGGCUGGCGCACCUGAGCCAUCCGGCGUUCCUUGAGCUGCUCCGGCAGGCGGAAGAGGAGUACGGCUUCCCGUCCGGCGCCUCCGGCCCCGUCGCGCUCCCCUGCGGCGAGGACCGCCUCCGCGACGUCCUCCGCCGCGUCUUUUCCUCGUCCCACUCCGAGGAGCCGCGCCGCUCCUCCUUCUGCCGCCGCCGCGGCGACUCGCGGCCGCUGCUUCAGGGGGUGGCCUUCCCGUGA